GAGAGACAGCGAGAGACAGAUCAGAUCUGGUCAGGUUUGUAUGGUGUGAUGAUCUGGAUGACAUCACGAUGACUAGGGCUCCCAUCGUCUUCAUCACCGUGUGGGUCUGGCUCACGGGUAUCAUGCAGGUGUUCACCGCUCAGCCAGGCCGCGUUCAACAGUUCCCCCCAUCGCUCCUCCUAAGGUCUGGGGAACCAGCGACGCUCAACUGCUCACACAGUGUCCCCAGCUACAACACAAUUCUCUGGUACCGCCAACCAGGGGCGGGUGGGGUUCUGGAGCUCCUCGGAUAUCUUUACCACAACAACCAGAACCUGGAGCCUCUGAUGGAGAAGACGCUCAAACUCGAAGGAGAUGGAAAAAAGUCGGGAACCAUGACGAUCUCCGGCAACGGGUUGGCCGUCGGUGACGCGGUGUACUUCUGUGCAGCCAGUGACACACAGCGCGGCGUCUUCUCUCUCCCCCCCAACAUAAACCCUCUGACAUGCAGAAAGCAGCCAGCAGGGUGCAGUAAAAGAUUAAGUUAA